GACGAACGCUGGCGGCGUGCUUAACACAUGCAAGUCGAACGAAGAGCGAUGGAAGCUUGCUUCUAUCAAUCUUAGUGGCGAACGGGUGAGUAACGCGUAAUCAACCUGCCCUUCAGAGGGGGACAACAGUUGGAAACGACUGCUAAUACCGCAUACGAUCUAACCUCGGCAUCGAGGAUAGAUGAAAGGUGGCCUCUACAUGUAAGCUAUCACUGAAGGAGGGGAUUGCGUCUGAUUAGCUAGUUGGAGGGGUAACGGCCCACCAAGGCGAUGAUCAGUAGCCGGUCUGAGAGGAUGAACGGCCACAUUGGGACUGAGACACGGCCCAGACUCCUACGGGAGGCAGCAGUGGGGAAUCUUCCGCAAUGGACGAAAGUCUGACGGAGCAACGCCGCGGGAGUGAUGACGGCCUUCGGGUUGUAAAGCUCUGUUAAUCGGGACGAAAGGCCUUCUUGCGAAUAGUUAGAAGGAUUGACGGUACCGGAAGAGAAAGCCACGGCUAACUACGUG
rnacentral:rRNA from 1 species